ACAGCCAUAACGCGUUGAUUAACCGGUUCCCGUACGAUCGCCGAAGUUAAGUAACGUCAGGUCAGGCCUGUACAAAGAUGGGUGACCGCUUAGGAAUGCCACGUACUGUG